AAAAGGAGCCGCGGCGACUUUCAAUUUGAUUUUCUGAUUUUUCUAUUCAGUGUUUGCUCAGCGAGUUUGACCACCGAUACGGUAACUAUAACUACAAUGAGCACUGUAAGCUUCGCAGAGCAGGAAAAUGCGUGCCUUUCUGUUCCUUCUUUAAAGAUGCGACAGAGACUUCACUCUGCCCCAGAGAACCAGAAGUCAACUCUGAUAAAAGGUAAAACCUUCAGCACUCCCUUGCCACCUUCUGGACGUAGAGCAUUAGGUGUCGUCACUGAAAACGCAACCCCUUCGGUUCAGCCGCGUGAGAAAAAACUGCUGAAGCCUCAGCAGGAGCUGAAGGUUGAAGCUGUCGCUCAGGCAAAAGUGGAAGAGCUUCCUGACGUUGAGACGCUCCACCAUCAUGAUCCACUUGAGUUUCAGAAAUACGACAUCCCUGAGGACGUUCUGCUUCUCCGUGGCCUUUGUCUUCAUGGACUGGCAUCAUUCCCUCCCUCUCUUGGUCAACACGAGGAAAGCUUUGAGCCUCUUCCAGUACAACCACUCCCAGAGAUGCAGAAAAAUUCAGAUAACUACUCAGAGUUGGAUACCUUUCUUCAGAUCAUCGAUGAGCUGACCAUUGCUCUUCCUCCAGAACCAUUCACGGACUAAUUGUGUUGUUUUUGUGUGUUUUUAAUUCUGUAAUAAAGUGACUUUAUUCAUUUUUAUGACAUUUUUAAUGACUUCAGUUGAGGUUAACGUUCAAAACUUUUAAUAUUAAAUUCAAUGUUUAGUGAUGACGGAUGUUGACUAAAACUAAAUGUUUUGCCAAUUCAAUUAAAUACACUACAAAGUGACUCAUGAACUGUAUUCCUGUGUACAAUUGAUAUUACUUAAGGAGUAGAGUAUACAUGUAUUGCACAAGGUCACUUACCAAGGUGGUUGCGUUCCUGUAGGCCAGACAACAUGGGCUGCUGAGAUUCAAAGACCUAACAGAGGAUAAAGGUUAGCCAGACUGCUAACCUCAGUGGGGAAACUAAGGAAGUCCAGUGAUGUUUCAACACCUGGGAAGUUCCUAUCCUGCAAGGCAAGAGAGGAAAAUUGAAAAUAUGGCACUUUGAGUAAGGGUGUUGAUGAAAAUGCAUCAUAACAUACAUUAAAAAUAAAUCAGAUUUUGCUAAACAUGUUUGUACAAUUUGCUGUUUGUUUUUGUGUAGGAAUGCCUCAACUUUUACAUACUGACAUUAAACAAUUGUUCUCUCCCAAUCUUAAAAACAAUUGCUACUUCAAUAUAAAGCUCUCUGGAGUAGAGGAUGAAAAUUAGUGUUAGCGGCUGUGAAGCGUUCACUGUUUAUACUUCCUGUUUUUUCUUUCAGUUCCUGGUCACAUGUGCAGGAUUUUCUAACACUGGUUUUACUGUUAGAGAUUAGAAUGGACUUUGCCUCAGUUCCUCUGCUUAAACAAACGCCCUGAAGCUUUGACUGAAAUCGUCUUCUGCACAAAAACUACUGGGCUUUGGACUGAGAACAGGAAACCAGAAAAUUGUUCCAGUGUUCGGGGAAAAAAA